rnacentral:rRNA from 1 species
UACGGAGGUGGCAAGCGUUGCUCGGAAUCACUGGGCGUAAAGGGCGCGUAGGCGGGGAGGCAAGUCGGGUGUGAAAUCCCUCGGCCCAACCGAGGAACUGCGCCCGAGACUGCUUCUCUUGAGUCCCGGAGAGGAAGAUGGAAUUCCCGGUGUAGCGGUGAAAUGUGUAGAGAUCGGGAGGAACACCGGUGGCGAAGGCGGUCUUCUGGACGGUGACUGACGCUGAGGCGCGAAAGCGUGGGGAGCAAACGGG